AGUGAACGCUGGCGGUAGGCCUAACACAUGCAAGUCGAACGGCAGCACAGUAAGAGCUUGCUCUUACGGGUGGCGAGUGGCGGGCGGGUGAGGAAUACAUCGGAAUCUACUUUUUCUUGGGGGAUAACGUAGGGACACUUACGCUAAUAGCGCAUACGACCUACGGGUGAAAGCAGCGGAUCUUCGGAUCUUGCGUGAUUCUAUGAGCCGAUGUCGGAUUAGCUAGUUGGCGGGGUAAAGGCCCACCAAGGCGACGAUCCGUAGCUGGUCUGAGAGGAUGAUCAGCCACACUGGAACUGAGACACGGUCCAGACUCCUACGGGAGGCAGCAGUGGGGAAUAUUGGACAAUGGGCGAAAGCCUGAUCCAGCCAUACCGCGUGUGUGAAGAAGGCCUUCGGAUUGUAAAGCCCUUUUGUUGGGAAAGAAAAGCAGCAGGUUAAUACCCCGCUGUUCUGACGGUACCCAAAGAAUAAGCACCGGCUAACUUCGUG
rnacentral:rRNA from 1 species